AGUGAACGCUGGCGGUAGGCCUAACACAUGCAAGUCGAACGGCAGCACAGUAAGAGCUUGCUCUUACGGGUGGCGAGUGGCGGACGGGUGAGGAAUACAUCGGAAUCUACUUUUUCGUGGGGGAUAACGUAGGGAAACUUACGCUAAUACCGCAUACGACCUACGGGUGAAAGCAGGGGAUCUUCGGACCUUGCGCGAUUGAAUGAGCCGAUGUCGGAUUAGCUAGUUGGCGGGGUAAAGGCCCACCAAGGCGACGAUCCGUAGCUGGUCUGAGAGGAUGAUCAGCCACACUGGAACUGAGACACGGUCCAGACUCCUACGGGAGGCAGCAGUGGGGAAUAUUGGACAAUGGGCGCAAGCCUGAUCCAGCCACACCGCGUGGGUGAAGAAGGCCUUCGGGUUGUAAAGCCCUUUUGUUGGGAAAGAAAAGCAGCAGGUUAAUACCCCGCUGUUCUGACGGUGCCCAAAGAAUAAGCACCGGCUAACUUCGUG
rnacentral:rRNA from 1 species